rnacentral:rRNA from 1 species
AUUGAACGCUGACAGAAUGCUUAACACAUGCAAGUCUUUGGCGAAUCUGUGCUUGCACAGCCUAGCCAAGGCGGACGGGUGAGUAACGCGUAAAGAACUUGCCCUGCAGACAGGGAUAACAGACGGAAACGACUGAUAACACCUGAUACAAUUGCCGGCACGCAUGUGCCUGGCAAUGAAAAGAGAUGCUGCGGGAGAGCUUUGCGUCCUAUUAGCUUGUUGGUGAGGUAACGGCUCACCAAGGCGAUGAUAGGUAGCCGGCCUGAGAGGGUGAACGGCCACAAGGGGACUGAGAUACGGCCCUUACUCCUACGGGAGGCAGCAGUGGGGAAUAUUGGACAAUGGGGGCAACCCUGAUCCAGCAAUUCUGUGUGCACGAAGAAGGUUUUCGGAUUGUAAAGUGCUUUCAGCAGGGAAGAAGAAAGUGACGGUACCUGCAGAAGAAGCGACGGCUAAAUACGUGCCAGCAGCCGCGGUAAUACGUAUGUCGCAAGCGUUAUCCGGAAUUAUUGGGCAUAAAGGGCAUCUAGGCGGCCAGACAAGUCUGGGGUGAAAACUUGCGGCUCAACCGCAAGCCUGCCCUGGAAACUGUUUGGCUAGAGUGCUGGAGAGGUGGACGGAACUGCACGAGUAGAGGUGAAAUUCGUAGAUAUGUGCAGGAAUGCCGAUGAUGAAGAUAGUUCACUGGACGGCAACUGACGCUGAAGUGCGAAAGCUAGGGGAGCGAACAGG